CUGUGGUUGUGGUGGUUGGUGCAGCAGAUGUGGCUGUUGGUGCUGUAGAUGUUGUGGUUGGUGCAGUGGUUGUGGUUGAUGCUGUGGUUAUGGUUGUUGGUGCUGCGGUUUUGGAGGUUUGUUCUCCAGUUGUGG